UCAACCCUCAAGCGCAGCUUGGUAUUGAGCCCAUGUCAGCGAUGGCAGGCUCCAAAGUCAGUGGCGGCGCCGCUGGGCCCUGAACGUAGUAAUAUCUCUCGUUACAGGCGCUCGGCGUGCUUCUGCCAAAACCCCAACUUUCU
rnacentral:rRNA from 1 species